rfam:Oryza rufipogon genomic scaffold, chr10
UUUAAGUGCAACCAUGAGUUUCCGUGUCCAUCUUUGAUUGUCCGUCUUAUUUAAUUUUUUUAUAAUUAGUAUUUUUGUUGUUAUGAGAUGAUAAAACAUAAAUAAUACUUUAUGCGUGACUUAUGUUUUAAAAUUUUUUAAAUAAGACGGAUGAUUAAAGUUAAGCACGGAAAAACAUGGCUGCAUUUAAA